rnacentral:misc_RNA from 1 species
CGUGAAAGGAUUUAUCAGUUGGUACAGGAAUAGAACCGCAGAGAAAACCGACGGGUUUGGGUCGAACGAUUUCGAGUGUCCCAACGCACUGAAGUUCUCUGGAGCCAUCAAAGGAGGUCGAUGGUGAUGAUGGAGGCGAUGGUUUCUCCAUAGAAUUUUGUAUAAAAUUUUUAUCUCUCGUCUGCUUCAGUUAGGUUUCAGCGUGGCUG